CAGCAGCCGCGGUAAUACGUAGGGUGCAAGCAUUGUUCGGAAUUAUUGGGCGUAAAGGGUGCGUAGGCGGAUCAGCAAGUCUCGUGUGAAAUCUUCGGGCUCAACCCGAAGUCUGCACGGGAAACUACUGGGCUUGAGUAAUGGAGAGGUGAGUGGAAUUUCCGGUGUAGCGGUGAAAUGCGUAGAUAUCGGAAGGAACACCUGUGGCGAAAGCGGCUCACUGGACAUUUACUGACGCUGAUGCACGAAAGCUAGGGGAGCAAACAGGAUUAGAUACCCCAGUAGUCCCUGUCUCUUAUAC
rnacentral:rRNA from 1 species